UCUAAGUCAGAGUCUUCUAAAAAGCCUGAACAGCUGAGGAAGCUCUUCAUUGGAGUGUUGACCUUUGAAACAACUGAUGAGAGCCUGAGGAGCCAUUUUGAGCAAUGGGGAACGCUCACGAACUGCAUGGGUAAUGAGAGAUCCAAACACCAAGCGCUCCAGGGGCUUUGGGUUUGUGACAUAUGCCACUGUGGAGGAGGUGGAUGCAGCCAUGAAUGCAAGGCCAUGCAAGGUGGAUGGAAGAACUGUGGAACCAAAGAGAGACAUCUCAAGAGAAGAUUCUCGAAGACCAGGUGCUCACUUAACUGUGAAAAAGAUAUUUGUUGGUGGCGUUAAAGAAGACACUGAAGAACAUCACCUAAAAGAUUAUUUUGAACAGUAAGGGAAAAUUGAAGUGAUUGAAAUCAUGACUGACUGAGGCAGUGGCAAAAAAAAGGGCUUUGCCUUUGUAACCUUUGACAACCAUGACUCCGUGGAUAAGACUGUCAUUCAGAAAUACUGUACUGUGAGUGGCCACAACUGUGAAGCUAGGAAAGCUCUGUGAAAGCAAGAGAUGGCUCGUGCUUCAACCAGCCAAAGAGGUCGAAGUGGUUCUGGAAACUUUGGUGGUGGUCGUGGAGGUGGUUUUGAUGGGAAUGACAACUUUGGUGGUGGAGGAAACUUCAGUGGUCGUGGUGGCUUUGGUGGCAGCCAUGGUGGUGGUGGAUAUGGUGGCAGGGGGGAUGGCUAUAAUGGAUGUGGUAAUGAUGGAAGCAGUUUUGGAGGUGGUGGAAGCUACAAUGAUUUUGUCAAUUACAACAAUCAGUCUUCACAUUUUGGGCCCAUGAAGGGAGGAAACUUUGGAGGCAGAAGCUCUGGUCCCUAUGGUGGCGGAGGCCAAUACUUUACCAAACCAUGAAACCAAGGUGGCUAUGGCAGUUCCAGUAGCAGCAGUAGCUAUAGCAGUGGCAGAAGAUUUUAA
rnacentral:lncRNA from 1 species